rnacentral:rRNA from 1 species
UAUUUUUGACAAUGGGGGAGACCCUGAUCCAGCCAUCCCGCGUGUAAGAUGAAGGCCUUCUGUUUGUUAAGUACUUUUGGCAGAGAAGAAUGGUUGCCGCCAAAUACGAGAUCCUGCUGACGGUAUCUGCAGAAUAAGCACCGGCUAACUACGAGCCAGCAGCCGCGGUAAUACGUAGGGUUCAAGCGUGAAUCGCCAUUACUGGGCGUAAAGCGUGUGUAGUCGUUUCAGAAAGAAAGAUGUGAAAUCCCAGGGCUCAACCUUGGAACUGCAUUUUUAACUGCCGAGCUAGAGUAUGUCAGAGGGGGGUAGAAUUCCACGUGUAGCAGUGAAAUGCGUAGAUAUGUGGAGGAAUACCGAUGGCGAAGGCAGCCCCCUGGGAUAAUACUGACGCUCAGACACGAAAGCGUGGGGAGCAAAC